rnacentral:rRNA from 1 species
AGUGAACGCUGGCGGUAGGCCUAACACAUGCAAGUCGAACGGCAGCACAGUAAGAGCUUGCUCUUACGGGUGGCGAGUGGCGGAAGGGAGAGGAAUACAUCGGAAUCUACUUUUUCGUGGGGGAUCACGUAGGGAAACUUACGAUAAUACCGCAUACGACCUACGGGUGAAAGCAGGGGAUCUUCGGACCUUGCGCGAUUGAAUGAGCCGCUGUCGGAUUAGCUAGUUGGCGGGGUAAAGGCCAACCAAGGCGACGAUCCGUAGCCGGUCGGAGAGGAGGGUCAGCCACACUGGAACGUGGACACGGUCCAGACUCCUACGAGAGGCAGCAGUGGGGAAUAUUGGACAGUAGGCGCAAGCCUUAUCCAGCCAUACCGCGUGGGUGAAGAAGGCCUUCGGGUUGUAAAGCCCUUUUGUUGGGAAAGAAAAGUAUCAGGUUAAGACCCCGCUGUUCUGACGGUACCCAAUGAAUAAGCACCGGCUAACUUCGUG